UACGAAGUGGGCUAGCGUUGCUCGGAAUUACUGGGCGUAAAGGGCGCGUAGGCGGAUGACUAAGUUGGGGGUGAAAGCCCGGGGCUCAACCUCGGAACUGCCUUCGAUACUGGUCAUCUUGAGUACGGGAGAGGUGUGUGGAACUCCGAGUGUAGAGGUGAAAUUCGUAGAUAUUCGGAAGAACACCAGUGGCGAAGGCGACACACUGGCCCGUUACUGACGCUGAGGCGCGAAAGCGUGGGGAGCAAACAGG
rnacentral:rRNA from 1 species